rnacentral:rRNA from 1 species
GGCUUGUUGAUAAUAAUUUCAGGUCUGACCUGCCCAAUGAUAGUAUUGAAUGGCCGCAGUAUUUUGACUGUGCUAAGGUAGCAUAAUCAUUAGUUUUUUAAUUGAAAACUGGAAUGAAAGGUUUGAUGAAGAAAUUUCUGUCUCUAGAGAAAUUAAUUAGAAUUUUAUUUUUAAGUUAAAAAGCUUAAAUAUUUAUAGAAGACGAGAAGACCCUAUAGAGUUUUAUAUUAAAGGAAAAGAGGAAUUUUUUGGUAAUAAAAAGGUCUAUUUUUUUGUAAUAUUUUGUUGGGGUGAUAAAAAAAUUUGAUAAACUUUUUUUAAAUUGAAACAUUGAUGUGUGAAUAGGUGAUCCUUAUUUUAGAUUAUAAGAUUAAAUUACCUUAGGGAUAACAGCGUAAUUUUUUUAAGAGUUCUUAUCGGAAAAAAAGAUUGCGACCUCGAUGUUGGAUUAAAAUUAAUUUUUGGUGCAGAAGCUAGAAAAUUAGGUCUGUUCGACCUUUAAAAUUUUACAUGAUCUGAGUUUAAACCGGCGUGAG